CUUUUAGUUGGGGACAACAUCGUGAAAACGGUGCUAAUACCGAAUAAGCUUAACGACAUUGAAAAAGUUAAGGAAAGGGGGCUUCGGCUCUCGCUAGAAGAUCGGCCUGCGUGACAUUAGCUUGAUGGUGAGGUAACGGCUUACCAUGGCGACGAUGUCUAACUGGUCUGAGAGGAUGAUCAGUCACACUGGAACUGAGACACGGUCCAGACUCCUACGGGAGGCAGCAGUAGGGAAUAUUGCACAAUGGAGGAAACUCUGAUGCAGCAAUGCCACGUGAGUGAGGAAGGCCUUCGGGUUGUAAAGCUCUGUCCUAUAGGAAGAACGGCAUUAUGGUUAAUACCCAUAGUGUUUGACGGUACUAUAGAAGAAAGCACCGGCUAACUCCGUGCCAGCAGCCGCGGUAAUACGGAGGGUGCAAGCGUUGUUCGGAUUUACUGGGCGUAAAGCGCGCGCAGGCGGACUAGCAAGUCAGAUGUGAAAUCCCGGGGCUCAACCCCGGAACUGCGUCUGAAACUGUUAGUCUUGAGUCUCAUAGGGGGUAGGGGAAUUUCACGUGUAGGGGUAAAAUCCGUAGAGAUGUGAAGGAACACCUGUGGCGAAGGCGCCUACCUGGAUGAGUACUGACGCUGAGGCGCGAAAGCGUGGGGAGCAAACAGGAUUAGAUACCCUGGUAGUCCACGCCGUAAACGAUGAGUACUAGCCCUUGGAGGUAUUGACCCCUUCAGGAGCGCAGCUAACGCAUUAAGUACUCCGCCUGGGAAGUACGGUCGCAAGACUAAAACUCAAAGGAAUUGACGG
rnacentral:rRNA from 1 species